rnacentral:misc_RNA from 1 species
GUCGCAGUCCGCAGAGUCUCGUCGUAGUCCGCAGAGAGUCCCGUCGUAGUCCGCCGAGAGUCCCGUCGUAGUCCGCCAAGUCCCGUCGUAAUCCGCAGAGUCCCGUCGAAGUCCGCCGUAGUCCACCGAAAGUACCGACGUAGUCAUCCAUCCAUCGUAGUCCGCCGAAAUUACCGCCGUUGCCUGCCGUCGUAGUCCGCAGAGUCCCGUCGUAGUCCGCCG